rnacentral:rRNA from 1 species
UACGAAGGGUGCAAACGUUGCUCGGAAUUAUUGGGCGUAAAGCGCGCGUAGGCGGCUUUGCAAGUCGAGUGUGAAAUCCCCAGGCUUAACCUGGGAACUGCAUUCGAGACUGCAUAGCUAGAGUAUGGGAGAGGGAAGUGGAAUUUCAGGUGUAGCGGUGAAAUGCGUAGAUAUCUGAAGGAACAUCAGUGGCGAAAGCGACUUCCUGGACCAAUACUGACGCUCAUGUGCGAAAGCGUGGGGAGCAAACAGG